AUUGAACGCUGGCGGCAGGCCUAACACAUGCAAGCCGGACGGUAGCACAGAGAGCUUGCUCUUGGGUGACGAGUGGCGGACGGGUGAGUAAUGUCUGGGGAUCUGCCCGAUAGAGGGGGAUAACCACUGGAAACGGUGGCUAAUACAGCAUAACGUCGCAAGACCAAAGAGGGGGAACUUCGGGCCUCUCACGAUCGGAUGAACCCAGAUGGGAUUAGCUAGUAGGCGGGGUAAUGGCUCACCUAGGCGACGAGCCGUAGCUGGUCUGAGAGGAUGACCAGCCACACUGGAACCGAGACACGGUCUAGACUCCUACGGGAGGCAGCAGUGGGGAAUAUUGCACAAUGGGCGCAAGCCUGAUGCAGCCAUGCCGCGUGUAUGAAGAAGGCCUUCGGGUUGUAAAGUACUUUCAGCGGGGAGGAAGGCGGUGAGGUUAAUAACCUUGCCGAUUGACGUUACCCGCAGAAGAAGCACCGGCUAACUCCGUGCCAGCCGCCGCCGUAA
rnacentral:rRNA from 1 species